rnacentral:rRNA from 1 species
UACGGAGGGUGCAAGCGUUAUCCGGAAUCAUUGGGUUUAAAGGGUCCGCAGGCGGAUCUAUUAAGUCAGUGGUGAAAUCCCGGGGCUCAACCUCGGAACUGCCAUUGAUACUAUUAGCCUUGAAUUAUGUUGAGGUUGGCGGAAUAUAACAUGUAGCGGUGAAAUGCUUAGAUAUGUUAUGGAACACCGAUUGCGAAGGCAGCUGGCUAAACAUAUAUUGACGCUGAUGCACGAAAGUGUGGGUAGCGAACAGG